GUCUGUUAGUUAGUGAGCAAAUUCAAAUAUUUUUUCAUAUCUCACAGUUUUUGUGAUCCUAAUGUGAAAUUAUUGUCUUCCGAAGGAAAAGCAAUGCUGAAAAUCAGACUAACACGAUAUUUUUUAUAUGGGAAAGAUUUGCACUCAAAACGUAUCUACAAAUUUGUCAUUAUUAUUUAAUAGAAUGUAUAAUAAAAGACGUUGACGGGGCAGUUGUAAGUUAAACAAUAAAUUUACCAGGUAUUAUAUAAAUUAUUUAAUUAAAUUAAAAUUAGGAUAACGAUCAUUCUGCAGGUUAAAAUUUAUUCUGGAACAGCACAUCUAAAGGACCUAGAGCAACUGUUUCAGGCAAAUUAAAGUUAUCGUCAAGUUAUGGAAGACACAUCAAUGUUACCAUCGAUGAACAUGAAGUCUGAGAAGUCUCUGCUGGAUCCAUCUUGAAUCGCAAUCCAUUUGAAAACAAAUAUGAAACUUGAGCAGACAACUCUUAAAUUGAAAAAAGAUUUGAAGAGUACCUGAUGCCUACAAUGUAAAAGCAGCCAACGUUCCCAUAUGAAAGUGUCAUCAAAGAUAUGGAUGGAAAGGGUCAAUUUCAUCACUUUUCAAUAUCUUGAUGUUUGUUUUGUUGAAAAUAUAAAAAAACUAUUAAAAAUGAAUACACUAAACCGAAUGACAUUUAUGUUAGUUGGGAUAUCAUUUUAAUAUAGAAUAAAAGUUCCAAAACUGUAGCAUCUUAUUAGUAGUUUUACAUAAAUGAAAGUAAGUGUGUUAAUAAUUCGAAAAUUAUUCCAACGGUUAGAAAAUUUAGGAAAAUUGGAACAUAUCAUAGAAAACGAACCGAAUUGUUUUUGAAAGUGAUUUAUUAGAGAACCGAUUAAUCAACCGAAAACUCUUAAAUUAUCAGGAGAUAAAGCAUGGUGGAAUGUGAGUAUGGAUUACAUUUUCUGAUUCAUUUAGUAUCAAACUGAAAACAAAAUUUCGAAAUGGAAGAUGCCGAUUGUGCGAUUUAUGGGAGUUACACCUUCUUGCAUUGCUUACUUACGAUGGACUGUUAUUGAUUUUACUCGAAUGAAAUCAACAUGCAUUUGUUAGAGUGCAGCCUUAAAUUGGAUCCAAUAGAGCAGCACCUCUGGGAUGUUGUAAAAAUAUUAGUUUGGUAUCUUUAUCCUUUUCCAACGAGACUCCUGAAGUUGGAGGGUGUUAUUUUAUUUUUCAAGGGGAAAACAUUACUUAAACAACCAUCCAACACUCGAUAAAAAGUUUCCAGAAUUGGAGGUAAUAUAGGAGUUCGAGAAGUUAUCAAUAGUCUUAUAUACGACUGGUAAUUUACUAAUUAAUUGUUAGGGGUUGUUGCUGAAUGAAAUGUUGGGUAAGUUUCAAUCAAUAAUCCUUUUAGAACAAAUACAAAUCACAUUACUGAAUUUAAUUUUUAUGGGAAUAAGAAAUUUUAUUUUUAUGAUUUUAUUUAAUGGUCAAAUUUCAUAUAAUUCUGAAAGUUUAAUUUAUAUGAUCAUAUCACACGAAUGGAUAAUUUUAAAGUACCGAAAAAGAUAUCGAGAGAGAGGUAAAGAGAAUAAAGAAAGAACAAAGAAGAAA